rnacentral:rRNA from 1 species
UACGUAGGGUGCAGGCGUUAAUCGGAAUUACUGGGCGUAAAGCGUGCGCAGGCGGUUUCUUAAGUCAGAUGUGAAAGCCCCGGGCUUAACCUGGGAACUGCGUUUGAAACUGGGAGACUUGAGUGUGGCAGAGGGGGGGUGGAAUUCCACGUGUAGCAGUGAAAUGCGUAGAUAUGUGGAGGAACACCAAUGGCGAAGGCAGCC